CUGCUUCCGCAGCACAUAGACUAAAAUUGGAACAAUACAGAGAAGAUUAGCACGGCCCCUGAACAAGGAUAACAUGCAAAUUCAUGGAGCAGUCUGUAUUUAA